AUUGAACGCUGGCGGCAGGCCUAACACAUGCAAGUCGAACGAGUUGCGGACGGGUGAGUAAUGUAUGGGAAACUGCCUGAUGGAGGGGGAUAACUACUGGAAACGGUACCUAAUACCGCAUACCAUCGGAUGUGCCCAGAUGGGAUUAGCUAGUAGGUGGGGUAACGGCUCACCUAGGCGACGAUCCCUAGCUGGUCUGAGAGGAUGACCAGCCACACUGGCACCGAGACACGGCCCAGACGCCUACGGGAGGCAGCAGUGGGGCAGAUUGCACAAUGGGCGCAAGCCUGAUGCAGCCAUGCCGCGUGGAUGAAGAAGGCCUUCGGGUUGUAAAGUACUUUCAGCUGGGAGGCGUUACCCGCAGAAGAAGCACCGGCUAACUCCGUGCCAGCAGCCGCGGUAAUUC
rnacentral:rRNA from 1 species